CAGUAGCCGCGGGAAUACGAAGGGGGCUAGCGUUGUUCGGAAUCACUGGGCGUAAAGGGUGCGUAGGCGGGCAUUUAAGUCAGGGGUGAAAUCCCGAGGCUCAACCUCGGAACUGCCCUUGAUACUGGGUGUCUUGAGUCCGGAAGAGGUGAGUGGAACUGCGAGUGUAGAGGUGAAAUUCGUAGAUAUUCGCAAGAACACCGGUGGCGAAGGCGGCUCACUGGUCCGGAACUGACGCUGAGGCACGACAGCGUGGGGAGCAAACAGGAUUAGAUACCCCUGUAGUCCCUGUCUCUUAUAC
rnacentral:rRNA from 1 species